rnacentral:lncRNA from 1 species
GUCAGUCUUUUCUAUGUCCCUCUUCCACAGAGAGGAAAAAACUCUCACAGUAUAGGCCUGGCGAAGAUUGCUGUUCUUUGAGACAGCUGCCUCCAAUGGUAAUGGAGAAACUUGGGUAUGGCUAACUGUAUGGACUGGCUUCUAACUGGCUUCUGUCACUUUUUAGUAGAUUCGGACAAAAUAUACCCUUCUCAGAUCUCUGAAAUAUUACUGGUUGUCAGCUUGACAGCAUCAGGCAGUCAGAUCCACUAUAAACUAGUCAGUAUGUUAGCUGAUAAAAUAGUGACUAUCUACUGUUCAGGCACAAGUUCAAAGUUUUUAAGUUUAUUUUGGUUGUCAUCUAAGUACAAACUUAAAGGGCUUUUCAUCAGGCCAAAGGCACCUCUGUCCAAUCCAUACCUGGCUCUCUGGACAGAAGAGAAAUGUACAUGCUUAUAGCCCAAAUCUAUAGUUUUUGCUAGUACUCAAAGUUAUAAAUAUGUUCCUGCUGUUUAAACAGCUAUCCAGAUAUCUGCUUUUUCUACACUGUGGGCUUCAGUAAAUAAGUUUUAACCUCUGUUCCUAGUUUAAACAUGUCUUAAACAGAUUUCUGCUUCUGGCUGACAUCUGAGUAUCAGUUGCUAACUACAGGCUGUUCUAAGUAGACUGCGAGCCCUGGACUUGCUGUGGAUGUGAACCAGUCCAGCUGAUAUGGACACCCCCUGUCUCUACAACAGUGUCUGCUAACCAGAAGCCCCUGAUGAAUUCCCCAUUGCCUAAAUUCCUUUUUGCUUUUGACUAGCAUUUCAACCUUCUGGGAAAUUUCGCCGCCCAUUUUCCCUGGUUAAAAUGCUAAGUCAAAAGGAACUCCCUUACAUGGGGAUGCCAGUAUCUAUCACUCCCUGAUGGGGAUGCUAGAGAGACAGCAAUUCCAUGAUUGGAAUUUACAAAAAAGAAAAUGGGGGAAUGAAGGAACCGGCUUCCCUUUUGGCAGCCAUAACAGCCGAACACAUGCUUGCCAUAAACCUGCCUUGGUCACUUAGAGGUCAGAUGCCUGUCUCGUGACAAGGAACCUUAGUCACUAAAAAGUCAGAUGCCUGUCUCGUG